rnacentral:misc_RNA from 1 species
GAUGAAGAACGUAGCGAAAUGCGAUAAGUAAUGUGAAUUGCAGAAUUCAGUGAAUCAUCGAAUCUUUGAACGCACAUUGCGCCCGCCAGUAUUCUGGCGGGCAUGCCUGUUCGAGCGUCAUUUCAACCAUCAAGCCCCAGGCUUGUGUUGGGGGCCUGCAGCUGCUGCAGCCCCCUAAAAGCAGUGGCGGACUCGCUGUCAUACCGAGCGCAGUAGUUACAUCUCGCUCUGGGCAUGGCGGCGGGCACCUGCCGUAAAACACUCUUUCUAAGGUUGACCUCGGAUCAGGUAGGAAUACCCGCUGAACUUAAGCAUAUCAAUAAGCGGGGA